rnacentral:rRNA from 1 species
AUACGUAGGUGGCAAGCGUUGUCCGGAUUUAUUGGGCGUAAAGGGAACGCAGGCGGUUUUUUAAGUCUGAUGUGAAAGCCUUCGGCUUAACCGAAGUCGUGCAUUGGAAACUGGAAGACUUGAGUGCAGAAGAGGAGAGUGGAACUCCAUGUGUAGCGGUGAAAUGCGUAGAUAUAUGGAAGAACACCAGUGGCGAAAGCGGCUCUCUGGUCUGUAACUGACGCUGAGGUUCGAAAGCAUGGGUAGCAAACAGGAUUAGAUACCCUGGUAGUCCAUGCCGUAAACGAUGAAUGCUAAGUGUUGGAGGGUUUCCGCCCUUCAGUGCUGCAGCUAACGCAUUAAGCAUUCCGCCUGGGGAGUACGACCGCAAGGUUGAA